UACGGAGGGUGCAAGCGUUAUCCGGAUUUAUUGGGUUUAAAGGGUCCGUAGGCGGAAUCGCAAGUCAGAGGUGAAAGCCCACAGCUUAACUGUGGAACUGCCUUUGAUACUGCCAUCCUUGAGUAUAGUUGAAGUGGGCGGAAUGUGCGGUGUAGCGGUGAAAUGCAUAGAUAUCGCACAGAACACCUAUCGCGAAGGCAGCUCACUAAACUAUUACUGACGCUCAGGGACGAAAGCGUGGGGAGCAAACAGG
rnacentral:rRNA from 1 species